CCUACGGGAGGCAGCAGUAAGGAAUAUUGGUCAAUGGGGGGAACCCUGAACCAGCCAUGCCGCGUGCAGGACGAAGGCCCCAUGGGUCGUAAACUGCUUUUCUACGGGAACAACCACAGUUACGCGUAACUGUCUGAGUGUACCGUAGGAAUAAGGAUCGGCUAACUCCGUGCCAGCAGCCGCGGUAAU
rnacentral:rRNA from 1 species